rnacentral:rRNA from 1 species
GGAAGAGAAAGAAAAUUCGAUUCCCUUAGUAGCGGCGAGCGAAACGGGAAGAGCCCAAACCAACAAGCUUGCUUGUUGGGGUUGUAGGACACUCUAUACGGAGUUACAAAGGACGACAUUAGACGAAUCAUCUGGAAAGAUGAAUCAAAGAAGGUAAUAAUCCUGUAGUCGAAAAUGUUGUCUCUCUUGAGUGGAUCCUGAGUACGACGGAGCACGUGAAAUUCCGUCGGAAUCUGGGAGGACCAUCUCCUAAGGCUAAAUACUCUCUAGUGACCGAUAGUGAACCAGUACCGUGAGGGAAAGGUGAAAAGCACCCCGGAAGGGGAGUGAAAUAGAACCUGAAACCGUGUGCUUACAAGUAGUCAGAGCCCGUUAAUGGGUGAUGGCGUGCCUUUUGUAGAAUGAACCGGCGAGUUACGAUUUGAUGCAAGGUUAAGCAGUAAAUGUGGAGCCGUAGCGAAAGCGAGUCUGAAUAGGGCGUUUAGUAUUUGGUCGUAGACCCGAAACCAGGUGAUCUACCCUUGGUCAGGUUGAAGUUCAGGUAACACUGAAUGGAGGACCGAACCGACUUACGUUGAAAAGUGAGCGGAUGAACUGAGGGUAGCGGAGAAAUUCCAAUCGAACCUGGAGAUAGCUGGUUCUCUCCGAAAUAGCUUUAGGGCUAGCCUCAAGUGAUGAUUAUUGGAGGUAGAGCACUGUUUGGACGAGGGGCCCCUCUCGGGUUACCGAAUUCAGACAAACUCCGAAUGCCAAUUAAUUUAACUUGGGAGUCAGAACAUGGGUGAUAAGGUCCGUGUUCGAAAGGGAAACAGCCCAGACCACCAGCUAAGGUCCCAAAAUAUAUGUUAAGUGGAAAAGGAUGUGGCGUUGCCCAGACAACUAGGAUGUUGGCUUAGAAGCAGCCAUCAUUUAAAGAGUGCGUAAUAGCUCACUAGUCGAGUGACACUGCGCCGAAAAUGUACCGGGGCUAAACAUAUUACCGAAGCUGUGGAUUGUCCUUUGGACAAUGGUAGGAGAGCGUUCUAAGGGCGUUGAAGCAUGAUCGUAAGGACAUGUGGAGCGCUUAGAAGUGAGAAUGCCGGUGUGAGUAGCGAAAGACGGGUGAGAAUCCCGUCCACCGAUUGACUAAGGUUUCCAGAGGAAGGCUCGUCCGCUCUGGGUUAGUCGGGUCCUAAGCUGAGGCCGACAGGCGUAGGCGAUGGAUAACAGGUUGAUAUUCCUGUACCACCUAUAAUCGUUUUAAUCGAUGGGGGGACGCAGUAGGAUAGGCGAAGCGUGCGAUUGGAUUGCACGUCUAAGCAGUAAGGCUGAGUAUUAGGCAAAUCCGGUACUCGUUAAGGCUGAGCUGUGAUGGGGAGAAGACAUUGAGUCUUCGAGUCGUUGAUUUCACACUGCCGAGAAAAGCCUCUAGAUAGAAAAUAGGUGCCCGUACCGCAAACCGACACAGGUAGUCAAGAUGAGAAUUCUAAGGUGAGCGAGCGAACUCUCGUUAAGGAACUCGGCAAAAUGACCCCGUAACUUCGGGAGAAGGGGUGCUCUUUAGGGUUAACGCCCAGAAGAGCCGCAGUGAAUAGGCCCAAGCGACUGUUUAUCAAAAACACAGGUCUCUGCUAAACCGUAAGGUGAUGUAUAGGGGCUGACGCCUGCCCGGUGCUGGAAGGUUAAGAGGAGUGGUUAGCUUCUGCGAAGCUACGAAUCGAAGCCCCAGUAAACGGCGGCCGUAACUAUAACGGUCCUAAGGUAGCGAAAUUCCUUGUCGGGUAAGUUCCGACCCGCACGAAAGGCGUAACGAUUUGGGCACUGUCUCAACGAGAGACUCGGUGAAAUCAUAGUACCUGUGAAGAUGCAGGUUACCCGCGACAGGACGGAAAGACCCCGUGGAGCUUUACUGUAGCCUGAUAUUGAAAUUCGGCACAGCUUGUACAGGAUAGGUAGGAGCCUUUGAAACGUGAGCGCUAGCUUACGUGGAGGCGCUGGUGGGAUACUACCCUAGCUGUGUUGGCUUUCUAACCCGCACCACUUAUCGUGGUGGGAGACAGUGUCAAGCGGGCAGUUUGACUGGGGCGGUCGCCUCCUAAAAGGUAACGGAGGCGCUCAAAGGUUCCCUCAGAAUGGUUGGAAAUCAUUCAUAGAGUGUAAAGGCAUAAGGGAGCUUGACUGCGAGACCUACAAGUCGAGCAGGGUCGAAAGACGGACUUAGUGAUCCGGUGGUUCCGCAUGGAAGGGCCAUCGCUCAACGGAUAAAAGCUACCCCGGGGAUAACAGGCUUAUCUCCCCCAAGAGUUCACAUCGACGGGGAGGUUUGGCACCUCGAUGUCGGCUCAUCGCAUCCUGGGGCUGUAGUCGGUCCCAAGGGUUGGGCUGUUCGCCCAUUAAAGCGGUACGCGAGCUGGGUUCAGAACGUCGUGAGACAGUUCGGUCCCUAUCCGUCGUGGGCGUAGGAAAUUUGAGAGGAGCUGUCCUUAGUACGAGAGGACCGGGAUGGACAUACCUCUGGUGUACCAGUUGUCGUGCCAACGGCAUAGCUGGGUAGCUAUGUGUGGACGGGAUAAGUGCUGAAAGCAUCUAAGCAUGAAGCCCCCCUCAAGAUGAGAUUUCCCAACUUCGGUUAUAAGAUCCCUCAAAGAUGAUGAGGUUAAUAGGUUCGAGGUGGAAGCAUGGUGACAUGUGGAGCUGACGAAUACUAAUCGAUCGAAGACUUAAUCAA